rnacentral:rRNA from 1 species
UACGAAGGGGGCUAGCGUUGCUCGGAAUCACUGGGCGUAAAGGGUGCGUAGGCGGGUCUUUAAGUCAGGGGUGAAAUCCUGGAGCUCAACUCCAGAACUGCCUUUGAUACUGAAGAUCUUGAGUCCGGGAGAGGUGAGUGGGAACUGCGAGUGUAGAGGUGAAAUUCGUAGAUAUUCGCAAGAACACCAGUGGCGAAGGCGGCUCACUGGCCCGGUACUGACGCUGAGGUGCGAAAGCGUGGGGAGCAAACGGG